rnacentral:rRNA from 1 species
UGAUCGUGCCAGAGGUAUAUGUCUGUGUCAAAGACUAAGCCAUGCAAGUGCCUGUAUGAGUGUUUAUACAACGAAACUGCGAAUGGCUCGGUAAAACAGCAAUAAUUUCUUCGGGGAUAAUACUACUCGGAUAACCGUAGUAAAGCUAGAGCUAAUACGUNNCANUCAAGCGCGAGAAAUCCGCUCGNGGNANNAACUANNANGUACAACCCAGUUUGUNAGGUGAUUCAUACUUAUCUUUUGAUCGCACCUCGUGUGCGACGCCCCAGAUUAAAUUUCUGACCUAUCAACUAUUAUGGCAAGGUAGGGUCUUGCCAUGGUUGUGACGGGUAACGGACCGUGGGUGCGGGAUUCCGGAGAGGGAACCUGAGAAACGGCUACCACGUCCAAUGAAGGCAGCAGGNNNNNNNNNNNNNNNNNNNNNNNNNNNNNNNGUAGUGACAAAAAAUAUCAAUAGGGGGACCAAUGGUCUUCCUAAUUGGAAUGAAAACAAUGUAAACUCCUUAUUNAGGAACCAGCAGAGGGCAAGUCUGGUGCCAGCAGCCGCGGUAAUUCCAGCUCUGUAAGCCUAUACCAAAGUUGUUGCAGUUAAAACGCUCGUAGUCGGAUUUUGGCGUGUGCUUCUGAGACUCCUAUUGGGUGUCGAAGGUNAUGCUNCCGCCUUUGUGGAGGGGGGUGUGGUGGUGCUUCUUUGCAUUGCCNCAUUUCCGCCACUGUUUACUGUGAAAAAAUUAGAGUGUUCAAAGCGAGCGAUUGCCAUGAAUACAUUAGCAUGGAAUAAUAGAAUAGGACCUGGUUCUGUUUUAUUGGUUUGUCGGUAUUAGGUAAUGAUUAAGAGGGACGGUCGGGGGCAUUUGUAUUCCAGCGGUAGAGGUGAAAUUCUUGGAUCCNUGGAAAACAAACAGCUGCGAAAGCGUCUGCCAAGGACGUUUUCAUUGAUCAAGAACGAAAGUAAGGGGAUCGAAGACGAUCAGAUACCGUCGUAGUCUUUACCAUAAACUAUGAGAUCUAGGGAUUGAACGUGGCCUUUUUUUGGUACGUUCAGCACCUUCCGGGAAACCAAAGAGUUUGCUUUCUGGGGGGAGUAUGGUCGCAAGUCUGAAACUUAAAGGAAUUGACGGAAGGGCAUCACCGGGUGUGGAGCCUGCGGCUUAAUUUGACUCAACACGGGAAAACUUACCAGGUCCAGACAUAAUAAGGAUUGACAGAUUGAGAGCUCUUUCUUGAUUCUAUGGUUGGUGGUGCAUGGCCGUUCUUAGUUGGUGGAGUGAUCUGUCUGGUUAAUUCCGUUAACGAGCGAGACCUGGGCGUGCUAAAUAGGGUUUGUUAUUCUUGUAAUAGCAGUUUAUGCCCUUCUUAGACGGACUGUAGGCUUUUAGUCUAUGGAAGCUCCAGGCAAUAACAGGUCUGAGAUGCCCUUAGAUGUUCUGGGCCGCACGCGUGCUACACUGAACGAUUCAAUGGGUUAGGUAGUGCGAAAGCACGACCUAAUCUCGAAAUCCGUUCGUGCUGGGGAUAGAAGCUUGCAAUUAUCCUUCUUGAACGAGGAAUACCUUGUAGGCGCGAGUCAUCAUCUCGCGCCGAAUACGUCCCUGCCCUUUGUACACACCGCCCGUCGCUCCUACCGAUUGAGUGGUCCGGUGAGGCUUUGGGAGGACUGAUUGGAUUGUGUUUCACAAACUGGUCGGUUUAAACUUAGUCAAACCUUACUACUUAGAGGAAGGAGAAGUC